rnacentral:rRNA from 1 species
UACGUAGGGUGCAAGCGUUGUCCGGAAUUAUUGGGCGUAAAGGGCGCGUAGGCGGGGAGGUAAGUCGGGGGUGAAAGUUUUCGGCUCAACCGGAAAAGGGCCUUUGAUACGGGUCGUCUCGAGGGAGGUAGGGGCAUGCGGAACUUCCGGUGGAGCGGUGAAAUGCGUAGAUAUCGGAAGGAACGCCGGUGGCGAAAGCGGCGUGCUGGACCUCUUCUGACGCUGAGGCGCGAAAGCUAGGGGAGCAAACGGG